ensembl:lncRNA
GGGUUCAAUCCCUGGGUUGGGAAGAUCCCCUGGAGGAGGAAAUGGCAACCUUGCUGGGAAAAUCUCAUGGACAGAGGAUCCUGCUGGGCUAUAGUUUAUAGGGUCACAAAGAUUCAGACACAACUGUAAUGACUGAGCACACACUCCUUAAAGUCAGAGCUCCUGUUCCCUUUCCUAGGAGGUAUGUAUCCAGCUUCUCCUGAGUUCUGCCUAGUAAAGGUAGAAGAUGAUAAGCUGAUGUUUGACUCUCCAGGC